rnacentral:ncRNA from 1 species
UUAAAAGGAAACUCGACUCACAUACGUUCGCUGAGUAAGUUCCACUAACCAAAUCAUAGAUUUGGAUGCUCACUUAAGUUGACGAGGUUGGGGAGUUAUCGAAACUUCGGCGGGUGCCCCACGGUAUAGCACUACCGUUAACAGCUGGCAAAACUUUAAAGUGAUUUAAAGUACAAAUCCAGUUUGGUGUUAAAG